GUUUUCGGGUGCAUGCCGAAUAACAUUUGCUAAACCGCCAACCAGAUUAAAGUCUCUUGUUAACCCGCAAACCGAACCACUAACCAAUUAUUCUGAAACUGAAAAACCAAAUAAGGUUUGGUUCGGGUGGUUUCACAAUUUCAAAAGAAUAAGGCUCACUUCUAGUUCAAACACUCAUUCAAAGCUUAAAAGACUAGUUUAGACAUCCAUUCACAACUUAAUAGACUAGUUAGCCACUCAUUCAUAAUAUUUACACUUUUCAAGGCAUUUCACCAAACAUUUUCAUGCAACUUGUUUCUAGAUUUGAGAGUGUUCCUUGCUUCAGAUCCAUGAGCACCAAUAUGAGCACCAAUAGUUCUCUUACACUCUAGCAAUUCCAAAAAAUCAUAAUUCACAAUUUAAUACGACAUUUCAAACAUUCAUUCAUAGUAUUUACAGCUUAAAAAUAGUUUAGACCCUCAUUCACAACAUAAAAGGUUAGGAGUUGUAGGAACAAACUUGGACCAUAAAUCAAUUUUAAAUGAAAGGCCUAUUAUUUUCACGCCUUUUUUAUGAAUUUGGUUCAUUAAAGAUAAUUUUGUCCUUAUAAAUUCUAAUUGAAUAACUUAGAUAUUAAUCUCUCCCGUGAUGAUCCCCCCAACUUCGGUUUUAAUUAGACUAUGCAUAUGAAAAUUCACAAGAAAAAAAUAUGACAUUCAUUAUAUUGUGAAUGUCAAAUUAAUACCAUUAUUGUUCUUAUAAAAACAUUGAAUUUCAAAAAAGACGAUAUUUAGUAUAAUGACUAACUAGGUGUAAAACCCAUGUAUUUCAUGGGUUAAUUUAAAAGAAAAUUUAAAUAUGAAAUUCCAAACAUUUAAAAGUUUGAAUUUAUAAAAAAAAUUAAAAAAAUGUUGAAUUAUUAAAAUUAAUGUGUUUUUUUUUUCUAAAUUUAAACAAAUAAUUUAGAUAAAUAAAAAAGGAAACUAAUGAUAUUUUAAUUUAAAAUUUUUUAAAUUAAAAGGAAAGUCAAUUAAUGAAAUUGAUAAGUAUUUAUUAUUACAUUUAUUAUAAUUAUUAUAUUUAAAUAUUAUAUGGAAUUUGAUAAAAUGAAAAAAACCACAAAAUGACAUGUGGUCAAAUUAAUGAAAGUGUAACAUGUGGACAAAAUGAUUUUCAUUUAUUAUAGUAGAAGUAGACGAGAAUGUCAAAUUAAUAACAUUAUUAACUUUACAAAACAAGAAACGUCCAUAAUUCAUAGUUGAAUAAAUUAAACAAUAUUAUGAAAUUUCAUUUGAUUCAACUGUGAAAAUCAUAAGUUUUUUUUAUUCAUAAACACAAUUUACAAUUUAAUUUUACAUUAUAUUAUUAAAUAUUUUACAAAUUCAACUAAUUUAACUAUGAGCAUGAGGAGCAUUCCUAAAAUUAUAGCUUCAUGAAAACUAUUCACAGUUUAAAAAUUCAUUUAUACUAUCAACUUUCUUCCAAUGCAACUUAUUCAAGUGUGAAUAUGAUUUGACGAAACAUCAUUUACAGUUGAAUAGUUUGUUAAUUUACCAACUAUUAUGAAAUUUCAUCUCUCAUUCAAUCACAAUUAUCGAUAGCGAAUAGCGGUAAAUAACGAUGAGCUACCUAUAAGCUAUGUAGCGAUAGUGAUGGAAUAGCGAACGCUAUUUCGUAUUUAGCGAUAGGCAUAAAAAUAUUAAAAAUAUUUAUUAUGUUCAAAUACUAUAGUUAUUAUAAAUUUAUAAUCAAUAAAUAAGGAAACAAACCAUUAAACUAGAUAAAAACGUUCAAAACUUCAACCCUUAUCUCUUUUAUUCUCAUUUAUCCCUUAAAAAAGAGAGAAAAAAAACGAAAAAAAAAACCCCUAAUGUCGCUAUUUACCACGCUAUUUGUCGCUAAGCACUCAAUAGCGACCAUAUACCUAUACGCUAUGCUAUGCUAUUCGCUAUAGCGACCGCUAUGGUCGCUAUUGACAACUAUUCAUUCAAUUGUGAACAUCAUAAGUUUUGUUAUUCAUGAACACAAUUCAUAAUUUAAUUUUAUAUUAUAUUUACUAAAUAUCUUACAAAUUCAACUAAUUCAACUGUAUUCAGGAGGAUAAUUUCAAAAAUUAUAGUUUCAUGAAAACCAUUCACAGUUUAAAACUUCAUUUAUACUAUCAAUUUUCUUCAAAUGCAACUUAUUCAACUAUGAAUAUGAGUUGUUGAAACAUCAUUCAAUUCAACUAUGAAUGUAUGAAUCAUAGAACCAAAUAUAUAACUAAAUUCAUUUCAUCCUAUCGUGUUCAUCAUAAUGAUUAUAAAUUGUUAUGGAUAUGAGUUGAUGAAAGAUCAUUCACAGUUGAAUAGAUUGUCAAUUAACCGACUAUUAUGAAAUUUCAUCUAAUUCAACUAUGAAUAUCAUAAAAAUUUGUAUUCAUGAACAUCAUUUAUAAUUUAAUUUUAUAUUAUAUUACUAUAUUACUAUAUAUCUUACAAAUUCAACUAAUUCAACGGUAAUCAUGAGGACAAUUCCUAAAAUUAUAGUUUCAAAAAAAUCAUUCACAAUUCAAAAAUUCAUUUAUACUAUCGAUUUUCUUCAAAUGCAACUUAUUCUAUUGUGAAGAUGAUUUGCUGAAGCAUCAUUCAACUGUGAAUGUAUGAAUUAUAUAACCAAAUGUAUAAAUAAAUUUAUUUCAUCCAAUCAUGAUCAUUAUAAUGAUUAUAAACAAGAUAAACAUUAAAAGCAUCAUAAAAACAUAUAACAUAAUUGAUUAUUUCGUAGCCAACCUUGAUAUCAUUUGAGGCUUCAUCUUCUUCAUAGAUUUAUUCAUUGUUGGAGAUUUAUUGAAGAAAUUGAUGUAGCUCAGAAUCCUCGACGAACACCUGUGCAACACGUCCACCGGCGACAUUGCAACACAAUCGACGCAACACAACAAUCGACAGAGAGGUAAUCAGAUUCCUCAACGGUAUUUUUAAUAGAUCUGAAGUAGGAGAUCGAUACGAUUACAACAAAGAGGUUUUCCGUUUAUGUUGACGGUGAGCAUGAACAGAUGGAGGCGUUGUGGUUUAGCUAGAGAGAAGAAUUAGGUUUACGUAUUCAAAUCACAAGAUAUUUCAUCGAAUCUGAUUUGGGAAAAAAAUAAUGCCUUUAAUUUGAAAAUAAUGC
rnacentral:lncRNA from 1 species